rnacentral:rRNA from 1 species
GAUGAACGCUGGCUACAGGCUUAACACAUGCAAGUCGAGGGGAAACGACGGGGAAGCUUGCUUCCCCGGGCGUCGACCGACGCACGGGUGAGUAACGCGUAUCCAACCUGCCUCUGACUGAGGGAUAACCCGUCGAAAGUCGGCCUAAUACCUCAUGGCAUCGUCUGCGGGCAUCCAACGACGAUUAAAGAUUUCAUCGGUCAGAGAUGGGGAUGCGUCUGAUUAGCUUGUUGGCGGGGUAACGGCCCACCAAGGCGACGAUCAGUAGGGGUUCUGAGAGGAAGGUCCCCCACAUUGGAACUGAGACACGGUCCAAACUCCUACGGGAGGCAGCAGUGAGGAAUAUUGGUCAAUGGGCGAGAGCCUGAACCAGCCAAGUAGCGUGCAGGAGGACGGCCCUAUGGGUUGUAAACUGCUUUUAGGCGGGGAUAAAGUGAGGGACGUGUCCUUCAUUGCAGGUACCGCAUGAAUAAGGACCGGCUAAUUCCGUG